rnacentral:rRNA from 1 species
CCUACGGGUGGCUGCAGUGGGGAAUAUUGGACAAUGGGGGCAACCCUGAUCCAGCCAUGCCGCGUGUGUGAAGGAGGCCGUCGGGUUGUAAAGCACUUUAAGCGGGGAGGAAGGCCUUGAGACUAAUACUCUUGAGGAUUGACGUUACCCGCAGAAUAAGCACCGGCUAACUCUGUGCCAGCAGCCGCGGUAAUACAGAGGGUGCAAGCGUUAAUCGGAAUUACUGUGGGCGAAGCGUUAAGAGGCGGGUGAAAUCCCCGGGCUCAACCUGGGCACGGCAUCCGAUACUGGCUGACUAGAGUGUGGGAGAGGAAGGUAGAAUUCCAGGUGUAGCGGUGAAAUGCGUAGAGAUCUGGAGGAAUACCGAUGGCGAAGGCAGCCUUCUGGCCUAACACUGACGCUGAGGUGCGAAAGCAUGGGGAGCAAACAGGAUUAGAUACCCUUGUAGUC